rnacentral:tRNA from 1 species
GCCCCAGUGGCUCAGCGGCCUAGAGCGGAUGGCUGUUAACCAUCAGGUCGCCAGCAGGUCUCAGAGUAAGUCUGAAAACUUGGCGAAUUCAAAUCUGGCCCGGGGCG